rnacentral:rRNA from 1 species
GUCUACAGCCAUACCACCGUGAACAUGCCCAAUCCUGUCUGAUCUCGGAAGCUAAGCAGGGUCAGGCCAGGUUAGUACUUGGAUGGGAAAUCACCUAGGAAGACCAGGUGCUGUAGGCA